UGGGGAAUAUUGGACAUUGGGCGCAAGCCUGAUCCAGCCAUGCCGCGUGAGUGAUGAAGGCCCUAGGGUUGUAAAGCUCUUUCACCGGUGAAGAUAAUGACGGUAACCGGAGAAGAAGCCCCGGCUAACUUCGUGCCAGCAGCCGCGGUAAUACGAAGGGGGCUAGCGUUGUUCGGAUUUACUGGGCGUAAAGCGCACGUAGGCGGACUUUUAAGUCAGGGGUGAAAUCCCGGGGCUCAACCCCGGAACUGCCUUUGAUACUGGAAGUCUUGAGUAUGGUAGAGGUGAGUGGAAUUCCGAGUGUAGAGGUGAAAUUCGUAGAUAUUCGGAGGAACACCAGUGGCGAAGGCGGCUCACUGGACCAUUACUGACGCUGAGGUGCGAAAGCGUGGGGAGCAAACAGG
rnacentral:rRNA from 1 species